rnacentral:misc_RNA from 1 species
UUUGUUUUCAUUUUUUGCUUUUCCUUUCGUUUUUGUCAUUAAAACAUUUUUUCUUGGUGCUUUUCUUCAUUUCGUUAUAUUAUAAAAAUCUACAAAUAAUUAGACGAAGUGGGAAGAGCUGUUGUAUAUUGUUGGUAUAACUUAAAGUCCAGUCCAUUUGCUACUUUCAUAGGUUUUUAUUAGAUAUGUGUAUAUUAUGUAUGUAGUGAAGAUAUGCAAUAAAAUAUGAGUAAACUAAAUACAGCAACUGUUUAAUGUUACGAAAUGGUGAUGCUUGAUUAACUAAUCAUCUGUAUUAACAGUAUGCAUGUUCAUGUAGGAUACUGUUAUAGUGCUUACAAAAAAAUCGUGCCUGAGAUAUUUGACAAAAAUUGUGUCAUGUCACAAUUCAGUUCUUCGUAAUAAAUUUGAUCCAAUUAAUGAUAAUAAAAAUAUAAAACGGUCAAGUCGGGUUUAGGAUUUAAUGUACACACUAUUUCAUGCUUUUGAUAACACAGAUAAAUUCUUUAAAUGGUUUAAAAGGCAUUUAAGUUUAUUUAAUAAAACAAUGGCCAGCCAAGAUUGUUAAAUGAGCGUGCCUAUCAGAUAAGACUUUUUUUCGUAGAGGUGGCAGACAUCUUUUGUUAACAAUUCUUUAGACUUUUUUGUUUUAUGCCAAUUGAUUGUGUAUUUUGAUGACACUUUACUUCUGAAAGAUGUGUGAAAUAUUUAAUCUGCCGUCAAUAUUAGGCGCAGUAAAUUUAUCAUUCACUUCUACGUUGGAUUUUAGCCGUUCUGGUUCUCUUUUCUCGCUUUUCGAAAUAUUUUUCGUAAUAAAAGUUAUCUAUUCAGGACUCACAUAAUUUUGUUUGAGCUAGAGAGCAGAAUGUGAAUUUGUUUGUUGAGAAAGAAAGAAAGAAAGGACUUGGGUCAAAAUAUUGAAAUAGAGAAUGGAGAAAUUUGUUCUGUUAUUUAUUCUUGGGUGUUGCAUUGUGGGAGUUAACGGACAGAUUGGAGUAACAGGCUGUACUGCUGGCACACAAGCCAAUUGCCCGAAUUUCCUACCAAACUCGUACUGUAAUUUGGGAACCCUGUUAUGUGAGUGUCCAGCGGGCUAUGUAGCAUCUACUACUAAUACAGCAUGCGAAUACGAAUGUGGCGCUUUGGCAGCACCGGACAAUGGAGCAGUAGAUACAAGUGCAGGUACCGUUGCUGGUAGUGUUGCAACAUUCAGUUGUGUCAGCAUGUACAAGCUUUCUGGAUCAGCCACGUCAACUUGUGUAGAUAGCACUGGCUGGGAUAAUACAGCAACAACAUGUGUUCCAGCUGAAUUAGGCGAUUCCUGUGCAACAAACAUAUUUCAGUGUAAUAACAUAGUUAAUGGGCAAUGUCUGGCAUUCUCAACAUGUGAAUGUCAAGCUGGUUACGAAGAUGAUGGUACCGGAUACGCAUGUACAGAGAUAGAUGAAUGUGCAUCCAAUCCGUGUCAAAACGGAGGUACAUGUGUGGAUGCAUUAAACUCCUACUCUUGUAACUGUGUUGCUGGUUAUAUGGACACAAAUUGUGAGACAGAUAUUAACGAGUGUGCUGGGAACCCGUGCCAGAAUGGAGGGACCUGUACAGAUGGGAUCAACAGUUACACCUGUGCAUGUGUGGCUGGUUUUGAUGGAAAUGACUGUGAAAACAAUAUAAACGAAUGUAGCUCGAAUCCAUGCCAGAAUGGGGGUACUUGUCUCGAUGGUACAAAUGCAUAUAUUUGCUCUUGCGUAGCUGGAUAUAUGGGCACCAACUGUGAAACAAACAUAAAUGAAUGUGACCCAAAUCUUUGCCAGAAUGGAGCAACUUGUGUAGACGGUAUCAGUCAAUACACGUGUACCUGCGUAGCCGGAUAUGAUGGCAACAACUGUGAAAACAACAUCGACGAAUGUGUUGGAAAUGCAUGUACCAAUGGUGCAACUUGUGUUGAUGGUAUAAAUCAGUACACAUGUAACUGUGUCGCUGGUUAUGAUGGGGAAUUCUGCGGGAACAACAUUGAUGAGUGUGCAUCACAUGCUUGCCAGAAUAGUGCUACGUGUGUAGAUGGUAUCAAUACAUACACAUGUGUUUGUCCAUCGGGGUACGACGGAGAAUUCUGUAACAACAAUAUUGACGAAUGUGCCCAAGAUCCCUGUAUUAAUGGGGGAACAUGUAUUGAUGAAGUCAAUGAUUACACGUGUAACUGCGUCACGGGAUAUACCGGCAAAACAUGUGCAACAAAUAUUGAUGACUGUGCAGCCAAUCCUUGCCAGAAUGGUGCCACGUGUUUAGAUGAUGUCAAUGACUACUCUUGCGUAUGUGUAGCUGGAUAUACUGAUAAAAAUUGCGACACUGACAUUGAUGAGUGUGCCAAUCAUAUAUGCCAGAAUGGAGCUACAUGUGUAGACAACAUUGACGGAUAUACAUGUUUAUGUGCCCCCGGAUAUGAUGGAACUUACUGUGUUGAUGAUAUUGAUGAAUGUGAAAAUCACAAUUGUCAAAAUGGCGCAAUAUGUAUAGAUGGGAUCGACGGAUACACGUGUGAUUGUGUAAAUGGUUAUGACGGAACAUUUUGUCAGAACAAUAUAAAUGAAUGUGCUAGCCAUAGUUGUUUGAAUGGUGCCACAUGUGUAGACGGUAUCAAUGAGUAUACAUGCACUUGUGUAGACGGCUAUACAGGGGAAUUCUGUGCUACAGACAUUGAUGAAUGUAGUUCACAUGCCUGUGUAAAUGGAGCAACAUGUGUAGACGCUAUCAAUCUGUACACAUGUGACUGUGUAACUGGCUAUACUGGGACAUUCUGUGAAACAAAUAUUGACGAGUGUGACCCAGAUCCGUGCCAAAAUGGAGCUACCUGCGUGGAUAAUGUAAAUGAUUACACAUGUAACUGUGUGGAUGGUUACACCGACAAAAAUUGCCAGACUAACAUAGAUGAGUGUAAUCCAGAUCCUUGCCAGAAUGGAGCUACUUGUGUGGAUAUGAUCAAUGAUUACACGUGUAAUUGUGUAGCCGGAUAUGAAGGAAAGAAUUGCGGCACGAACAUUGAUGAGUGUGAUUCUGAUCCAUGCCAAAAUGGCGGCACAUGUACUGAUGAAGUCAAUCAGUAUACCUGUAUCUGUGUACCUGGGUACAAUGGGGAUGAAUGCGAGAAUAAUAUUGACGAGUGUAACGGUAACCUUUGUGAAAACGGAGCCACCUGUGUAGACGGUAUUAAUUUAUACACCUGUGACUGUGUACCAGGAUAUGAUGGGGUUUACUGCGGAAAUGACAUAGAUGAGUGUGCAUCACACAACUGUUUGAACGGCGCAACGUGUAAUGAUGAGAUCAACACGUACAACUGUCUUUGUGUAACUGGUUACACAGAUCAGUACUGUCAGACAGACAUUGAUGAGUGUGCAUCACAUGCUUGUCAGAAUGGUGCUACGUGUGUAGAUGGUAUCAAAACAUACAUAUGUGUGUGUCCAUCGGGGUACGACGGAGACUUCUGUAACAGUAAUAUUGACGAAUGUACCCAAGAUCCCUGUAUUAAUGGUGGAACAUGUAUUGAUGAAGUCAAUGAUUACACGUGUAACUGUGUCACGGGAUAUGCAGAUAAAACAUGUGCAACAAAUAUUGAUGACUGUGCAGCCAAUCCUUGCCAGAAUGGUGCCACGUGUUUAGAUGCUGUCGAUGACUACUCUUGCGUAUGUGUAGCUGGAUAUACUGAUAAAAAUUGCGACACUGACAUUGAUGAGUGUGAUUCUGAUCCAUGCCAAAACGGCGGCACAUGUACUGAUGAAGUCAAUCAGUAUACUUGUAUCUGUGUACCUGGGUACAAUGGGGAUGAAUGCGAGAAUAAUAUUGAUGAAUGUAAUGGUAACCUUUGUGAAAACGGGGCCACCUGUGUAGACAGUAUCAAUUUAUACACCUGUGACUGUGUACCAGGAUAUGAUGGGACUUACUGCGGAAAUGACAUAGAUGAGUGUGCAUCUCACAACUGUUUGAACGGCGCAACGUGUAAUGAUGAGAUCAACAUGUUCAGCUGUAUUUGUGUAACUGGUUACACAGACCAGUAUUGCCAGACAAAUAUAAAUGACUGUGCAUCUACUCCCUGUGACAAUGGAGGAUCAUGUACAGAUCUAGUGAACGGAUUUGAAUGCUCAUGUGCCAAUGGAUUUACUGGUUUAAUUUGCAGAGCAGGUGAGCUAGGUGAUGACUGCUCUACACGAGCUGAGGUAUGUGCUAACCUUGCCAAUGCUGAAUGUGAUGGUAGUACAUGUGUAUGUGUGACUGGGUAUGAAGAUCCAACUGGUGCCACAGGAACUUGCAGUCGUGUUGACUGUGGAACAAUAUCUCCACCUGUUGAUGGAACUGUGGACCAUGGUGAAGGAACAUUAUACGAGAGUAAGGCAUACUUCUCCUGUAAUGCCGGCUACACACUGACUGGAGUGUCCUCAGUCACCUGUCAGGCAGAUGAGACAUGGGACGGUACCACGCCGACAUGUGUCAUCAAAGACUGCGGUACAUUAGCCACUCCGUUGAACGGUAAUCUGCAGUACACACCCAACACAGAGUACCUAGGUUUGGCCGAGUUCAGCUGUAUUACAGGUUACACUCUUAUGGGAGAUGCGACCAGAACUUGUCAGGAUACUGGAGUAUGGGGAGGAACUAACCCUAUCUGUCAAAUAAACGACUGUGGUACGAUUGUUGCACCAGCGAACGGUGGCGUGGACCUCACAGACGGAACGACGUAUAAAAGCGUUAUUGUAUUCCAGUGCGACAAUGGUUACGAUCUUGUCGGACAGUCUAGUCUGGAAUGUCAGGCUGACUCUAAUUGGGAUGCUUCAAAACCAACUUGCAAUAUAAAAGACUGUGGUUUUCUCUCCAAUCCUACCAAUGGUGCAGUUGAUCACGCGGACGGCACAACAUAUCUAGCAGAAGCCGUCUUCUCAUGUGAUACUGGUUACACAUUGAUUGGAACCUCGUCAAGGAUCUGUCAAGCAUCAGGUUCUUGGAGCGGCAGCAGCGAUCCAUAUUGUCAGAUCAAUGAUUGUAAGCCUCUAACAGCCAUAUUAAAUGGAGAAAGUGUUCUUUAUGACACUACAAACUCAACAUUUGGGGCAACAGCGACAGUCACAUGUGAUACAGGCUACAUUGCGAAUACAACACACAUAACGUGUUUAGCUUCAGGGAAAUGGGAAGUAGCAAAAUGCUCUGUCGUCGACUGUAAAAAUGUACCUGAUGUCUCACAAGCAACUGCAGUACUGUUUGAGGAGGGAAAUACAACUUAUGGAGCCUACGCAGCUGUUAUUUGUGAAACUGGUUAUAAUGCGUCUAUGGGUACAAUACAGUGUUUGGAAACAGGAAGGUGGGAAAAUUCAACUUGUGACUUGAUAGACUGUAAAGCAAUCCCUGAAGUUGCUGCUGGGAGCAUAACACUCUUUAAAGAAGGAAAUAUCACGUAUGGUGCAUUAGCCGAGGUGACAUGUGCAAAAGGUUACAACACAACAUUACAUAUUAUUCAGUGUCUUGAAACGGGAGACUGGGAGAUACCCUCAUGUGAUGUUAUAGAUUGCAAUGAUGUUCCAGACAUUACUAAAGGAACAGUCACACCAGUUGAAGACAGUAAUACAACUUAUGGCGCCCUUGCUAACGUAAUCUGUGACAAUGGUUAUAAUGCUAGUUCUACAACGAUACAGUGUCUUGAUACAGGAAAGUGGGAAGUAAUGACUUGUGAAAUAGUUGACUGUGGUAGUUUGACUGUUCCUACAAAUGGCAAAUUAGACAGUUCUACUGGAACAACUUACAACUCAAUAGUCAAGUUCAGGUGUGAUGAUGGAUACACUAUAGAAGGCAGCGCCACAAAUGUUUGUGUAUUCAAUGGCUCAUGGAGUGCACAAAGCCCUACUUGUCUUAUUAAAGACUGUGGAGGGCUCCAAGAUCCAGUAAAUGGCUGGGUUCAGACUUCCGGCGGAACAACAUAUAAAGCAGAAGCAGUAUACAACUGUAAUGGAGGAUACACUCUGAAUGGUCGGAAAUCGCGCGUUUGUUUAGCUAACGGAUCGUGGAGUUUCUCAGCCCCUAAGUGUACACAAACAGUGUCGGAAAUAAAUACGUGUGCCGCAAAUGAAGACAGCCGAGGAACAACGUGGCCAGAAACGAAUUCAGGGAACACAAUAGAUAAAAGCUGCAACUCGGGGUUCACAGGUUUGAUAACAAGGCAUUGCCGAUCUGAUGGUACCUGGCAGUUGCCACAGUACAAUUGUGUUCGUGAAAGUGUGAAGGAGGUCGAAGAAAAGGUAUUUGCUUUGAACGUCAAUGCUUCAGAGAAUGACGUUAGUGAUGUACUAUGGGAAAUAAAUAAAGUUACUGUUAAGAAUGAAAGUACGCGAGCAGAAGACAGUUUAACUGAUGGAGAACUCAACGUCUUGUCUUCGUCUUUAGAAACGGUUGCAGAAUUAUUGGUAGCUUUAGCAGGAAUAAUAAAUGAUGAUAUUACUGAGAAUUUCCUCGAAUCAGCCAGCAACCUUAUAGAUGAUUCAAAUCAGGAAAGUUGGCAGUCAUUAUCCGAAUCAGGAAGCAGUGGAGCUGAAAAGGUAUUAAAAGCAGUUGAUACUAUGGCCAAAGCAUUAAGUCAAUCUAUUGGGUCGUCAGAGAAAAAUAAAACAAUAAUCGUCAAGAAAAACAUUGCUACUGAAGUAAAGAAGUUUUCAAAUGAAGGUUUCAUAUUUCCGAAUCCUGCAGAAAAUGAACAUGGUGAAGAUGACGAUGACACACAAUGGCUGACGGAGUCACAAAGUAGAUUGCAAUUGGAUACUAAGUCACUGAAAAACGAUACAGUGAAGUACGUAACAACUGCAGUUAUAUACAGAGAUAUGUCAGAAAUUCUACCGACAAAACAAACAAACGUCACAAGUGAAAAACAAAUUUCACUGGUCCUUCGUGCGUAUUUUGGUCAUUUCAAAGUAGUGGUUCAGGGCCUGGAUUCUGGUCUACGGAUGGCUGUGCAGUCAACACUACAAAUGAGAACUUUACAAUUUGCCAGUGUGAGCAUCUCACUAACUUUGCUGUUUUAAUGAGUCCCUUUAAGGAGGCUGAUGCCACAUCAGAUGCACUCCGGAUUAUUUCUAUGGUUGGUAUAGGAAUUUCGAUUGCAUGUUUAAUGGUCACGCUGGUUCUUCACUUCUGUCUGUGGAAGUAUUUACGAAAUGAUCGCACCACAGCUUUGAUGAAUC